GUAAAGACUUCUACAUAAGAGUGUUCCUGUGUGCAUGUUACACCUGCAGAGCAUGGGGUCAGCUCUUACCAAAUGGGUCAUGUUUGCGCAGCACCAGUUUGUCUCUGAGACGGUUCCUCUUUGUGUUGAAGAAGUACCCUGUCCCUGCAGCGCUCAUCAUCUGCACCAGGACGGUCCUGAAAGGAGACAACAUGAGGAGAAUCACAGCAGCGCCGGCGGCAGAAGAUGUCUUCAGAUCCAUUUCUCAUUGAGGGCAGAGAGGAAAGUGGGAAAACAGUGAGUGCAGGGAAGGACAAGCUGCAAGAAGCCACAGGUUGGAUGAAAACCUGCACCCCCUCCUCCUGGGAUUAUGGCCUCUGUGCACAGGGCAUGCAACUCAACCACUGCACUAAACCAGCGCCCCUUAAAGAAGAGUUUUAAGUAAAAUAAAGGGGUGAUUCAAAAGAUGUUUCUCAGUCAUCUGACUUUAUUUCUAAUUUAUUGCUCCGUCCUCUUUUCAGACCCAGGAGUAAAGAUGUACAUGGAGAUAUGAAGCAAAAGGAUAAAAAGGUCAGAUAUAAAGGAAGAAGUGGGAAUAUAGAGAUGACAAGAACGACAUUAAACUCACUGGUACAGCUGAUGGAGCAUUUUCACAAGUCAAUAAAAACUGUACUCUCUCUGGUCAUUGUGGCUAAUAUAAAGAGACUCCAGUCAAACAACACUGGACAGUCAUUUGAC